ACUUGCGAUCGUUGUUUUGGUUGUUGGCUUGCGUGGUUACGCGUCUGCGGUGUCCUUUAAGUGGAUCCUCAGCCAUCCGUAAUCGAUGAUUUCGUUUUCGGAUUGGACGAUCCAUCGAUCGUUGAUUUCGUUUUCCGAUUGGAUGAUCUGUUUCCGAUAGGUGGUGCAUCCAAAUCCUCAGCCAUCCCUUAAUCGUUGAUUUCGUUUUCGGAUUGGAUGAUCUGUUUCCGAUACUUGAAACUGAUCUACUUUCCAUGCGGGGUGUAUCAAAAGCCUUGAAACUGAUCUGUUUGGAUGAUCGUUUUCGGAUUGGAUGAUCUGUUUUCGGAUAGGUGGUGCAUCCAAAUCCUCAGCCAUCCCUUAAUCGUUGAUUUCGUUUACGAAUUGGAUGUUCUGUUCUCGGCACUUGAAAACUGAUCUACUUUCCAUGCCGGGUGUAUCAAAAGCCUUUUGUUCAUGUGGCUUUCGUUUUCGGGGACUUGGACAUUGGUCUUGAACGAAUCGGGUGAUCUAUUUUCAAUCGAGGGCUUCACAAUUUUGCCGGAUUAAGGCCAUUUGCGACAGAUUUUAUAUGUACUUUCGAAGCGGUAGGUGAGGCUUUGGUGUUUGUGUGGGUAUUAUCUUAAUGGAACCCUCGCGGAGUCUGUGAGGCAAUUUGUGAAGGUUGCUCUGGUUUUCCGAAAUGAUCUGAACAAGGGAUGUGUCCUUUUUGAUCUGGUUUAGUUGGCCUUCGUUACUUUCAACUUUUAUUUGUUGCAUUUAUGUCCACCAGUUGGUUAUGUUUGUUUGUUUUUAUUUUUUGUGUGCAAGGGAAAGCUUCUGGAUAUGAUAUUUGAAAGAGAGAUGUGUGUGUUUUGCUACCAUGCUAUGAUAUUUGGUUUGAGAUAUACGCUAACGGUAUCUGCAUCAAUGCUGUGUCUUUUGGAUACUCUAGUUGGAUUUAGACGGGUAUCAGGGAAGAGUUCCAUCAACUUCUCAUUUUUUUGAGGGUUUUUGUGGGCAGUUGCCGAAGCAUCAUCGUUAGGCAUGAUUCUAUUAAAUAGAGAUGAUUCUAUAUGUGUCAUCGACGCUGUUGGUGGGGCUCUGGUGUUUUUGUGAUUAUUAUCUGUAUGGAGCCACACGUAGCUGUGAUGCAGUUUGUAAAGGAUGCUCCAAUUAAGGAUGCUCUGGUUUUUGUUGAAUGAUUUAAAUAGGUUUUCCAUUAGAUAGUGUUAUAUUUAAGGGGUUUCAUUGUUGUGACAUACGUUGCUUAUUAUGAUGGAUCCAGGGCUUCCGAAAUUAUCUGAACAGUGGAUAUGUCCGGUUUGUGCUGGUUUAGUCAGCCCUUGUUACUUUCAAACAUUAAUUGUUGCCCUUACGUGCACAAGUUGGUCAUUUGAUAUGGUUCUCAUCAAAGUAUGGUUGUUUGUUUUUAUUUGUUGUCUGCUAGGGGAAGCUGAUGGACAUCUAGUUUUGCAUGGGCAUGGGACAUUUUUUUGAAAGUGAGAUGUGAGUGUUCUGCUACCUUCCUAUGGUAUUUGGUUUCGAUAUGUUCUACUCUAUCAUCAUUCAUGGAAGAGGUUCCUUUCACUUUUCAUUGGCUAUCUAAUUGUUGAUUGUCUGUCUACUUAUUCCAUUGGCAUGCUUGGUACAUUUUAUAAAUUUGCACUUUUGAAGUCAGUCUUUCUCUUUGUUUUCCGAAUGUCCUAUUUGUAGGGUUUUUGUGUGCAGUUGCAGAAGCAUCAGUAUCAGCAUUAGCCAUAAGCCUGGUUAUUAGGAUUAUGACCUUUCUUGAAUAGAAUUUUUGGUAUGAGACAUACGUUUUGCCUGUUUUAAAAGGAUAGUUUAGAUUUAGGUGUUUAAUUUAUGCAUGUUUGUGAUAUUAAGUUUUUGUCCAAUUGUUAAUUGUUCUUCUUGUUGUGAAUUUUUAGCUGUUACUUGCUUGGCAAGUCUUUUUGGUCAUACUAAUGUCUCAUUUGUCUCUUCUUGGAUUCUUUGUUAGAUUUCUAUUUUGCAGCUUAAUUAUCUUUUUGUUUUAACCUGCCUCUGGUCAUCUGAUGUUUGGUUUCAGUUAGCUUGUAGAUGUUUUUUUAGUAUGACAUUUAAUCAUUUUUUGCUUUGAGUAAAUAACUUUGAUUGGUCUUUACUUUGAUUGGCUCAUGUUCUAUUGUUUUUUAUUCUACUUUAUCUCUUAUUUGUUGGCAUUUUUUAAGUUCUCUGUACAAUUUAUAGUUUUUUGUUCCAUGUAAACUUUUUGUCCUUGUGUGUUUCUAGUGUAACUUUUGACUGGUGUCUUUUAUGUUGCCCUAUAAUGCUGAUGUGGCCUCAUAUGAGAGAUUAUUUUACCGUAAACAAUUCAUCAUGUUGUUUGUUUGCAGGAUUUAAAUUGGGUAUAUGGAAGGUUAUUUUGUUUGCCUAUUUGGUUUAUUACAUCCAGUUGUAUUCUUGGCUGCUCUUUCCAGAUGAAAUUUGGAUUUUCUGUCCUGGUUUUCUACAAUUAGUUAUGACGUUUGGUAGCAGGAUUUUAUUUUGGAGUUAAUACAUUUCUAAAUUGGGUUAAUUACAUCCUUUGGUGUUCUUGGCUGGUUGUAUUAGAGGAAGUCAGAUAAUUUUGUUGAAUAACUUGAAUUCUGUGGUCAUUGUUUCCAUUGGCGUCAUUGCUGUUCAUUUAUUGCCAAAAUGCAGUCCAACAGUGCAAAGUUGUUACAUUUGAAAGGUCAUUAUUUUCACCGACUUUUUGAUCCUCUGGCUUAUAAAAGUUCUCUGCUGCGUUUCUCUUCCUUUUAAUUAACUUCCAUUUCUCUUUUGAAUCAUGUUCCCUUUGUCUUGUGUGGAAGCUAGGACGUGGUAAUGAUUUUACGUACAGGUGAUGUGAACAAUGUAGUUGGAACAUCUACGGAAAGCCUAGCAUGAUUAAACAGAAAUUCAUGGGAAAGACUUUAUUGGCUUUAACUGGUUUUCCCAGGAUUAACAUUAGAUUGAAAAGCUUGGAACUGACAUUUGAAUUGAUCCACUAGUACCUGUUGCUAUUGCCCAUGAUGUUUGCAAGUUUUGGUUCGAUUUUGUUCUUUUCCUGUGUGUACAUGUUUAUAUGGUUCAAAGAACUCUGGAAGGUUGUGUUUGGUUGAAAGGGGGUGGUGCAUUUGGAUUGAGAUUAGCAAAUUGAAAAGAUUGGAAGAUGACUUUUGAUUGAGAUUAGGGCAUUGAGAAGGUUGGAAAAUGAUUCUUUAGUUGAUUCGCAAGUCUCAGUUGCUAUUACCGGUGAUGCUCUGCAAUUUAUGGAUGGAUUUUGUUUUAUUUUCCUGUGCCUACAUAUUUGUAUGUUCCAAAGAACUUUGGAAGUUCUGUUUUUGGUUGAAAACAUGGUGCAAUGGGAUGUUGUAUCUAUUACACAAAUUGGUUGUACCAAAAAUUAUUGUGGACUAGUACUCAGAUUUUGUCAUAAGUUAUCAGAUCAAGGUUUUUGA